GUGGGGAAUCUUGCGCAAUGGGCGAAAGCCUGACGCAGCCAUGCCGCGUGAAUGAUGAAGGUCUUAGGAUUGUAAAAUUCUUUCACCGGGGACGAUAAUGACGGUACCCGGAGAAGAAGCCCCGGCUAACUUCGUGCCAGCAGCCGCGGUAAUACGAAGGGGGCUAGCGUUGCUCGGAAUUACUGGGCGUAAAGGGCGCGUAGGCGGACAGUUUAGUCAGAGGUGAAAGCCCAGGGCUCAACCUUGGAAUUGCCUUUGAUACUGGCUGUCUUGAGUACGGGAGAGGUGAGUGGAACUCCGAGUGUAGAGGUGAAAUUCGUAGAUAUUCGGAAGAACACCAGUGGCGAAGGCGACACACUGGCUCAUUACUGACGCUGAGGCGCGAAAGCGUGGGGAGCAAACAGGAUUAGAAACCCCGGUAGUCC
rnacentral:rRNA from 1 species